rnacentral:rRNA from 1 species
GGGUUGUGAGGUUAAGCGACUAAGCGUACACGGUGGAUGCCCUGGCAGUCAGAGGCGAUGAAGGGCGUGCUAAUCUGCGAUAAGCGCCGGUAAGGUGAUAUGAACCGUUAUAACCGGCGAUACCCGAAUGGGGAAACCCAGUGUGAUUCGUCACACUAUCAUUAACUGAAUCCAUAGGUUAAUGAGGCGAACCGGGGGAACUGAAACAUCUAAGUACCCCGAGGAAAAGAAAUCAACCGAGAUUCCCCCAGUAGCGGCGAGCGAACGGGGAGGAGCCCAGAGCCUGAAUCAGCAUGUGUGUUAGUGGAAGCGUCUGGAAAGGCGCGCGAUACAGGGUGACAGCCCCGUACACAAAAGCGCAUGUGCUGUGAGCUCGAUGAGUAGGGCGGGACACGUGGUAUCCUGUCUGAAUAUGGGGGGACCAUCCUCCAAGGCUAAAUACUCCUGACUGACCGAUAGUGAACCAGUACCGUGAGGGAAAGGCGAAAAGAACCCCGGCGAGGGGAGUGAAAAAGAACCUGAAACCGUGUACGUACAAGCAGUGGGAGCACAGGUUUACCUGUGUGACUGCGUACCUUUUGUAUAAUGGGUCAGCGACUUAUAUUCUGUAGCAAGGUUAACCGAAUAGGGGAGCCGGAGGGAAACCGAGUCUUAAUUGGGCGUUAAGUUGCAGGGUAUAGACCCGAAACCCGGUGAUCUAGCCAUGGGCAGGUUGAAGGUUGGGUAACACUAACUGGAGGACCGAACCGACUAAUGUUGAAAAAUUAGCGGAUGACCUGUGGCUGGGGGUGAAAGGCCAAUCAAACCGGGAGAUAGCUGGUUCUCCCCGAAAGCUAUUUAGGUAGCGCCUCGUGAAUUCAUCUCCGGGGGUAGAGCACUGUUUCGGCUAGGGGGCCAUCCCGGCUUACCAACCCGAUGCAAACUGCGAAUACCGGAGAAUGUUAUCACGGGAGACACACGGCGGGUGCUAACGUCCGUCGUGAAGAGGGAAACAACCCAGACCGCCAGCUAAGGUCCCAAAGUCAUGGUUAAGUGGGAAACGAUGUGGGAAGGCCCAGACAGCCAGGAUGUUGGCUUAGAAGCAGCCAUCAUUUAAAGAAAGCGUAAUAGCUCACUGGUCGAGUCGGCCUGCGCGGAAGAUGUAACGGGGCUAAACCAUGCACCGAAGCUGCGGCAGCGACACUGUGUGUUGUUGGGUAGGGGAGCGUUCUGUAAGCCUGUGAAGGUGUGUCGUGAGGCAUGCUGGAGGUAUCAGAAGUGCGAAUGCUGACAUAAGUAACGAUAAAGCGGGUGAAAAGCCCGCUCGCCGGAAGACCAAGGGUUCCUGUCCAACGUUAAUCGGGGCAGGGUGAGUCGACCCCUAAGGCGAGGCCGAAAGGCGUAGUCGAUGGGAAACGGGUUAAUAUUCCCGUACUUGGUGUUACUGCGAAGGGGGGACGGAGAAGGCUAUGUUGGCCGGGCGACGGUUGUCCCGGUUUAAGCGUGUAGGUGUGUGUUCCAGGUAAAUCCGGUUCACUUUAACACUGAGGCGUGACGACGAGGCACUACGGUGCUGAAGCAACAAAUGCCCUGCUUCCAGGAAAAGCCUCUAAGCAUCAGGUAACAUCAAAUCGUACCCCAAACCGACACAGGUGGUCAGGUAGAGAAUACCAAGGCGCUUGAGAGAACUCGGGUGAAGGAACUAGGCAAAAUGGUGCCGUAACUUCGGGAGAAGGCACGCUGACACGUAGGUGAAGUGAUUUACUCAUGGAGCUGAAGUCAGUCGAAGAUACCAGCUGGCUGCAACUGUUUAUUAAAAACACAGCACUGUGCAAACACGAAAGUGGACGUAUACGGUGUGACGCCUGCCCGGUGCCGGAAGGUUAAUUGAUGGGGUCAGCGCAAGCGAAGCUCCUGAUCGAAGCCCCGGUAAACGGCGGCCGUAACUAUAACGGUCCUAAGGUAGCGAAAUUCCUUGUCGGGUAAGUUCCGACCUGCACGAAUGGCGUAAUGAUGGCCAGGCUGUCUCCACCCGAGACUCAGUGAAAUUGAACUCGCUGUGAAGAUGCAGUGUACCCGCGGCAAGACGGAAAGACCCCGUGAACCUUUACUAUAGCUUGACACUGAACAUUGAGCCUUGAUGUGUAGGAUAGGUGGGAGGCUUUGAAGUGUGGACGCCAGUCUGCAUGGAGCCGACCUUGAAAUACCACCCUUUAAUGUUUGAUGUUCUAACGUGGACCCGUUACCCGGGUUGCGGACAGUGUCUGGUGGGUAGUUUGACUGGGGCGGUCUCCUCCUAAAGAGUAACGGAGGAGCACGAAGGUUGGCUAAUCCUGGUCGGACAUCAGGAGGUUAGUGCAAUGGCAUAAGCCAGCUUGACUGCGAGCGUGACGGCGCGAGCAGGUGCGAAAGCAGGUCAUAGUGAUCCGGUGGUUCUGAAUGGAAGGGCCAUCGCUCAACGGAUAAAAGGUACUCCGGGGAUAACAGGCUGAUACCGCCCAAGAGUUCAUAUCGACGGCGGUGUUUGGCACCUCGAUGUCGGCUCAUCACAUCCUGGGGCUGAAGUAGGUCCCAAGGGUAUGGCUGUUCGCCAUUUAAAGUGGUACGCGAGCUGGGUUUAGAACGUCGUGAGACAGUUCGGUCCCUAUCUGCCGUGGGCGCUGGAGAACUGAGGGGGGCUGCUCCUAGUACGAGAGGACCGGAGUGGACGCAUCACUGGUGUUCGGGUUGUCAUGCCAAUGGCACUGCCCGGUAGCUAAAUGCGGAAGAGAUAAGUGCUGAAAGCAUCUAAGCACGAAACUUGCCCCGAGAUGAGUUCUCCCUGAGACUUAGAGUCUCCUGAAGGAACGUUGAAGACGACGACGUUGAUAGGCCGGGUGUGUAAGCGCAGCGAUGCGUUGAGCUAACCGGUACUAAUGAACCGUGAGGCUUAACCUUACAACGCCG